rnacentral:rRNA from 1 species
UAGGGAAUAUUAGUAAUGGGCGAAAGCCUGAACUAGCAACGCCGCGUGUGCGAAGAAGGCCAUCGGGUUGUAAAGCACUUUUUGGGAGGAUGAGGAAGGACGGUACUCUCAGAAUAAGUCUCGGCUAACUACGUGCCAGCAGCCGCGGUAACACGUAGGAGGCAAACGUUAUCCGGAUUUACUGGGCGUAAAGCGCGUAUAGGUGGUUUGGUAAGUAGGGCGUGAAAGCUCCUGGCUCAACUGGGAGAGGACGUUCUAAACUGCCAAGCUUGAGGAUGGUAGAGGGAGGUGGAAUUCCGGGCGUAGCGGUGGAAUGCGCAGAUAUCCGGAGGAACACCAGUGGCGAAGGCGGCCUCCUGGACCACUCCUGACACUCAGACGCGAAAGCUAGGGUAGCAAACGG